rnacentral:rRNA from 1 species
UACGGGGGGAGCAAGCGUUGUUCGGAUUUACUGGGCGUAAAGGGCGCGUAGGCGGCGCAACAAGUCACUUGUGAAAUCUCCGGGCUUAACUCGGAGCGGCCAAGUGAUACUGUCGUGCUAGAGUGCGGAAGGGGCAACUGGAAUUCUCGGUGUAGCGGUGAAAUGCGUAGAUAUCGAGAGGAACACCUGCGGCGAAGGCGGGUUGCUGGGCCGACACUGACGCUGAGGCGCGAAAGCGUGGGGAGCGGACAGG